GCCGUCGUCGACCAGUGGAAGGUCCUUCUCAAAUGGUGUGUUCCACGUACUCCUGCAUACGAGAACGCUGGGGGUUCGAAUCCUCCCGACGGCA